AUACGGAGGGAGCAAGCGUUAUUCGGAAUCACUGGGCGUAAAGGACGCGUAGGCGGGUUGGCAAGUCAGAUGUGAAAUCCUACAGCUUAACUGUAGAACUGCAUUUGAAACUGCUAACCUAGAGUAUGGGAGGGGGAGAUGGAAUUAGUGGUGUAGGGGUAAAAUCCGUAGAUAUCACUAGGAAUACCGAAAGCGAAGGCGAUCUCCUGGAACAUAACUGACGCUAAGGCGUGAAAGCGUGGGGAGCAAACAGGAUUAGAAACCCUAGUAGUCC
rnacentral:rRNA from 1 species